rnacentral:rRNA from 1 species
UACGUAGGGUGCAAGCGUUAAUCGGAAUUACUGGGCGUAAAGCGUGCGCAGGCGGUUAUGUAAGACAGGUGUGAAAUCCCCGGGCUUAACCCUGGGAACUGCAUUUGUGACUGCAUAGCUAGAGUACGGUAGAGGGGGAUGGAAUUCCGCGUGUAGCAGUGAAAUGCGUAGAUAUGCGGAGGAACACCGAUGGCGAAGGCAAUCCCCUGGACCUGUACUGACGCUCAUGCACGAAAGCGUGGGGGAGCAAACAGG